rnacentral:lncRNA from 1 species
AUGGGGUUGUUCCUGAGUACAGCAUAUGCCAAAAAGUUUCGUAUUUGGCCCCUACGUGUUUCUCACAAGUAUGUGUUAAAUGAUGCCUUUACUUUCACUGAGGCUAUGGAGCAAGUGGUCCAGGGGGUUAGAUCAGGUAAAUUCUCUCCCCAGAGUGGCUGCACCAUCUUCCAGACGCCAGAGUUCCCACUUCUCCGCCCUAAUGUAACAAUUUUGAAAAUAAAUAACUGCCACCCUGGGUGGUGGGUCAAAGUAAACUUAAAUGGAAAACCAACACCAACAAAAGGAAAGAAGAGAGCCCGAAACAGGGAGAGGAGAAAGUUAGAAGAGGAAGAUGAAGGGAAGAGAGAAAAGACAGAAAAUAGCCCCUGGACAACAGUCUGGAAAUGCCCCCAAGACGGCCACUGCGCUCCACUGUGGGCAGUAUUUGGGUGCGGGCCCCACGCUGUCAAUCAUUCACUCCCUAAGCGGUCAGAUGACUUCAAGUUGCACAACAGAGCAGCACUAAUACAUCUUGAAGCGGUGAAGAGAGGAAGAACAACGUGGCGGUUCCUGGGCUGUUACCACCGCUGCAUUGGAAGGAUUUCCGUGACUCUUCUUAACUCUCCUCCAUCUGACCUUCAUUUUCAACUUCCCUUAUCGCCUCAAGGCUCCGUCUCUAGAGCCCACUACGCAGCAUGUCUAAAGGUGGGGACAUGGGCUAAAUUGUGGACGAUGGUGGCAGAGAAAAAAAGACAGCGCAUUCAUCCUCCUGCACCUGCCUGCCAGCUCCUUUGUCUACCCCCCACCCCCACCCCCACCCCGACUCCCCAGCCGCCUUGCUCGCACAUAGGGGCCUGUACAGCCCUAGUUCCAAUGGUGGUCGCCCCCAUAAUUUCAAGACCUAGAUUCCCAACAUCACUCUGCCUUUUUUUUUUUUUUUUUUUUUUUUUUUGGCCCAUUUCAGAAGUGCUUUUGAACCUGCCUGGAGUCCCUCAAGAUCCAAAUGCCUUUUCAUUUUUAUCCACCUCUUCAUUGCGGGUUGCUGCUUUGAUUGCUUUAGUUAACCUCUCUUAG